GUAUGUUGCUCUAUCUCAUGGAUGCCAUUUAUUUUUAUCCACCCAUGCAUGCCACAGCAGACCAUGAAGUGCUGACCCUCACCAGCCACGAACACAGUACAUGCAGCCAUGAAAGAAGAUACUGACAACUGCCACAGUUCAAACUCCAGCAGCCUAUCUUCCUUUAAAAGAAGGAAGGAAAACAUCUGCUGCUAACUGGGGGUCAAACUACAGAUUUGCUGCUCUUGAGGAAAAGUUAAUUAGCAUCAACCUUUAAAGAUUCUCUAAACCAAAUUAAGACCCUCUGGCCAAGCACUAGAGUAGGAGCUGGACAACGUGAGAUUGACACAAACUUUUUACAUACUCAUACUGGCCACUGCACUCAGGCAUCUAAUUUUAGGCACUUACCCAAGUUCCUCAAUUCAUUGACAUCAAACUGGGCUGUACUGACAUUCAAGAGAGAGCAGAAGAGAUGCAAGGGAGGCCCUGCAGGCACUGCUCAGCUCUGAAGAUGGAAGUCUACCCGACUGCACACCGAACAGAGACUAACACUGCAGAUCUGGCAGAUUUGUCACUGGAGGAGACUGUAAAUCGAAGCAGGAAAAAAACAGCAUAAAAGAGGUCCCCACUGGUUCAGCUCAGGUGCAGAGAAGAGUGUAACGUGACAUAACUCACUCAAGACAACAGCUCUAAUCGCUAUCACUACUCUCCAGCUGGACUGCAACUUGAAAAAACAAUUAAAUGUGAAACAACUGCUGCAACCUACUUCCUCAAACAUUUGUAGUUCAAAUUAAAACAACAGUACUUCAUUUACUCCUCCACGCCCCAUAAAAAUAACUGAGUACUUUUUUUUGUCAUUUUCCUACAACUUCUCACAUGACUCAUGCAUCCAUGUGCGUUUUGGUCUCAUGUUGCAAUUUGCUCUCUUCUUUGCUACACUUGAACACGGUUUAAAUUUCAAACUGUGUAUUUUACCUACCUACAGUGUUAUACCAUAAAGAACUAUAAUAAAAUCUGCUCCAGAAAGAUGAACAUCCAAGCCACAGGAAGCCCCAAAGGAAGACAAUUGCAAAAUAUUUGGGGACACAGCAUGAGAUCAGUCAGCUAGGACACUAGUAUGCUACGUAAGGGUAACAUUCACUUCAGACAACUAAGAUUUGCAGAAGCUCAAGUUCCUUCUUUCCUGCCCCCAAUUUUUUUAAUGUAAACUGCACAGAGAGACAGAAAUUAUUAAUUUCUACUAACAGUGUUUCAAAUUUGAAAAUUUGGUAAUUUUCAUAAAUAUAAUGUGGUGUUUCUUUCUUUUGUAACUUCAAGAACUGGGACAGAUCUCUUAAGCUGAAUACUCUGCGGAAUAAAUGUCUAUUAAGUGAAAGGGACUCUGGGGGAAGGGAACCAAAAUAAACCAGGAAAAAAAGGGUAGUGGUAAGGGCAUAGGAAACAGUGUACAAAAGAAAUUAAAA